rnacentral:ncRNA from 1 species
AGUUGUCAGAAAAGUUACCACAGGGAUAACGUGCUUGUGUCGGCCAAGCGUUCAUAGGGACGUUGCUUUUUGAUCCUUCGAUGUCGGCUCUUCCUAUCAUUGUGAAGCAGAAUUCACCAAGCGUUGGAUUGUUCACCCACUAAUAGGGAACAUGAGCUAGACGAAAAGUAACAUCUGAGUU